rnacentral:lncRNA from 1 species
UUAUUUCCAGCAUUUUAUUUACACCCGCCAGAGAUAACCCUUCAAUUUGUAGAUCAAUUAUUUUAAUUGUACACAUGUUGUUCUUUUCAAAACAGAGGACAUGUUGUUUCUUCCAUUAUCAUAUAGUCAUAACAUUAUAAAUUGGAUAAAUUGUGAUAUGAUUUAAUGUAUACUCACAGUAGUGGUUACAAAAAAACAGUAAUAGACCGUAAUUGAAAGAUAUUACUUAUAUUUAUAAUCAUGGUGAAUAUUAUAAUUUAAAGACUGAUUGACAUUGACAACAUUUAUGAACCUAGGUAACAUUUCUAUGGUAGUAGUCAAACAUUCAAUUUACAGUGAUAAACAUUUACCUUAAUGUCAAUAUGGCUAUGUACAAUUAAUAAUGGUACAAAUUAUCAUUUGAGUGUCCGAUGCAUUAAAAUGAGAUCCUGAAAUGGAAAGGUUAUAACGAGUCUAAUGAAAUAUACUGGCUCGAUAUAACCCUUCAAUUCUAACAUCUUUCAUUCUAUAAUGUUCAAAUAUCAUAGUCCUAAAUACAACAAAGGGGUCGAUUAUAAAAAUUCCUAACACUAUAUCUAAAUUUAAUUGGAUAUUUAAUUUAUUAAAAUACAAUAAACAGACAUAUUGAUAGCUUAUCAUUAAAUAAAAGUGAACCCUGAUAUUAAAAUGCUAAAACAACACAUAAUUUUCAAUUUGUUCAAUUUCAAAAACAAAAUUAUUAUAAGAUAUUAUUGAUCCAAAACGAUAAAGUCUAUUAUAAAGAAAAAGUAUAAUAUAUACUCACCAGGAUGAAACAGAAUUCUGAAAAUUGAACAUGAUGAAAAUUCCAAAAUGAGAUGAUUUAAAAUGCACUAGGUUGACUUGUUUCGAAGUAGUUUUCAUUGAACUGAUUGUAGAUCACAAUUUGUUUUAGCUCGUACACACUUAAUGAAUUGACAUAUUCAAAAUCUGAAAGAUAAAACAAAAUUAGAAUAAAUCUAAUAUAAGGGGCACAUGUAAAUUAAACAAAUAAUAAUAGUUUGACAAUGUUUAGAAAUUUACAGUAUGAUUUUACGCUUUUAGAAAAAAUAUACAGUCAACUUGAUAAAAAACUAUCAAAAAAUAAAUUACUUAGAGAGCUGUAGACGAUCUUUAAUUGCAUAAAGAGCAAUUAGUUGAUAGAAAUUUGCAUACAAAAUCUUCAAAUUGACAGAUUAUUUCCUGCAUAUGAAUUAUACACUACAGAGAUAACCCUUUAAUUUGAAGAUCAAUUAUUUUAAUUGUACACAUGUUGUUCUUUUCAAAACAGAGGAUAUGUUGUUUCUUCCAUUAUCAUAUAGUCAUAACAUUAUAAAUUGGAUAAAUUGUGAUAUGAUUUAAUGUAUACUCACAGUAGUGGUUACAAAAAAACAGUAAUAGACCGAGAUUGAAAGAUAUUACUUAUAUUCAUAAUCAUGGUGAAUAUUAUAAUUUAAAGACUGAUUGACAUUGACAACAUUUAUGAACCUAGGUAACAUUUCUAUGGUAGUAGUCAAACAUUCAAUUUACAGUGAUAANUUGGAUAUUUAAUUUAUUAAAAUACAAUAAACAGACAUAUUGAUAGCUUAUCAUUAAAUGUAUGUGAACCCUGAUAUUAAAAUGCUAAAACAACACAUAAUUUUCAAUUUGUUCAAUUUCAAAAACAAAAUUAUUAUAAGCCAUUAUUGAUCCAAAACGAUAAAGUCUAUUAUAAAGAAAAAGUAUAAUAUAUACUCACCAGGAUGAAACAGAAUUCAGAAAAUUGAACAUGAUGAAAAUUCCAAAAUGAGAUGAUUCAAAAUGCACUAGGUUGACUUGUUGCGAAGUAGUUUUCAUUGAACUGAUUGUAGAUCACAAUUUGUUUUAGCUCGUACACACUUAAUGAAUUGACAUAUUCAAAAUCUGAAAGAAAAAACAAAAUUAGAAUAAAUCUAAUAUAAGGGGCACAUGUAAAUUAAACAAAUAAUAAUAGUUUGACAAUGUUUAGAAAUUUACAGUAUGAUUUUACCCUUUUAGAAAAAUAUACAGUCAACUUGAUAAAAAACUAUCAAAAAAUAAAUUACUUAGAGAGCUGUAGACGGUCUAUAAUUGCAUAAAGUGCAAUUAGUUGAUAGAAGAUUGCAUAAAAAAUCCUCAAAUUGACAGGUUAUUUCCAGCAUUUUAUUUACACCCGCCAGAGAUAACCCUUCAAUUUGAAGAUCAAUUAUUUUAAUUGUACACAUGUUGUUCUAUUCAAAACAGAGGAUGUGUUGUUGCUUCCAUUAUUAUAUAGUCAUUACAUUAUAAAUUGCGUAAAUUGUGAUAUAAUUUAAUGCAUACCUGGAUUAGUGGUUACAAAACAACAGUUAUAGAUUGAGAUUGAAAGAAAAUCUUUAAAUUCAUAAAGCUAGUAAAUAUUAAAGACAUUUAUGGACCUAGGUAACAUUUCUAUUGUAGUAGUCAAACAUUCAAUUUACAGUGAUAAACAUUUACUUUAAUGUCAAUAUGGCUAUGUACAAUUAAGAAUGGUACAAAUUAUUAUUUGAGUGAUGGAUGCAUUUAAAUGAGAUCCUGAAAUCGAAAGGUUAUAACGAGCCUAAUGAAAUAUACUGGCUCGAUAUAAUACUUCAAUUCUAACAUCUUUCAUUCUAUAAUGUUCAAAUAUCAUAGUCCUAAAUAAAACAAAGGGGUAGAUUAUACAAAUUCCAAACACUAUAUCUAACUAUAAUUCGAUACUUAAUUUAUUAAAAUACAAUAAACAGACAUAUUGAUAGCUUAUCAUUAAAUGUAUGUGAACCCUGAUAUUAAAAUGCUAAAACAACGCAUAAUUUUCAAUUUGUUCAAUUUCAAAAACAAAAUUAUUAUAAGCCAUUAUUGAUCCAAAACGAUAAAGUCUAUUAUAAAGAAAAAGUAUAAUAUAUACUCACCAGGAUGAAACAGAAUUCUGAAAAUUGAACAUGAUGAAAAUUCUAAAAUGAGAUGAUUCAAAAUGCCCUAGGUUGACCUGUUGCGAAGUAGUUUUCAUUGAACUGAUUGUAGAUCACAAUUUGUUUUAGCUCGUACACACUUAAUGAAUUGACAUAUUCAAAAUCUGAAAGAAAAAACAAAAUUAGAAUAAAUCUAAUAUAAGGGGCACAUGUAAAUUAAACAAAUAAUAAUAGUUUGACAAUGUUUAGAAAUUUACAGUAUGAUUUUACGCUUUUAGAAAAAAUAUACAGUCAACUUGAUAAAAAACUAUCAAAAAAUAAAUUACUUAGAGAGCUGUAGACGGUCUAUAAUUGCAUAAAGUGCAAUUAGUUGAUAGAAGAUUGCAUAAAAAAUCCUCAAAUUGACAGGUUAUUUCCAGCAUUUUAUUUACACCCGCCAGAGAUAACCCUUCAAUUUGUAGAUCAAUUAUUUUAAUUGUACACAUGUUGUUCUUUUCAAAACAGAGGACAUGUUGUUUCUUCCAUUAUCAUAUAGUCAUAACAUUAUAAAUUGGAUAAAUUGUGAUAUGAUUUAAUGUAUACUCACAGUAGUGGUUACAAAAAAACAGUAAUAGACCGAGAUUGAAAGAUAUUACUUAUAUUCAUAAUCAUGGUGAAUAUAAGUAAUAUCNCAAAGGGUUCGAUUAUAAAAAUUCCUAACACUAUAUCUAAAUUUAAUUGGAUAUUUAAUUUAUUAAAAUACAAUAAACAGACAUAUUGAUAGCUUAUCAUUAAAUGUAAGUGAACCCUGAUAUUAAAAUGCUAAAACAACACAUAAUUUUCAAUUUGUUCAAUUUCAAAAACAAAAUUAUUAUAAGCCAUUAUUGAUCCAAAACGAUAAAGUCUAUUAUAAAGAAAAAGUAUAAUAUAUACUCACCAGGAUGAAACAGAAUUCAGAAAAUUGAACAUGAUGAAAAUUCCAAAAUGAGAUGAUUCAAAAUGCACUAGGUUGACUUGUUGCGAAGUAGUUUUCAUUGAACUGAUUGUAGAUCACAAUUUGUUUUAGCUCGUACACACUUAAUGAAUUGACAUAUUCAAAAUCUGAAAGAUAAAACAAAAUUAGAAUAAAUCUAAUAUAAGGGGCACAUGUAAAUUAAACAAAUAAUAAUAGUUUGACAAUGUUUAGAAAUUUACAGUAUGAUUUUACGCUUUUAGAAAAAAUAUACAGUCAACUUGAUAAAAAACUAUCAAAAAAUAAAUUACUUAGAGAGCUGUAGACGGUCUAUAAUUGCAUAAAGUGCAAUUAGUUGAUAGAAGAUUGCAUAAAAAAUCCUCAAAUUGACAGGUUAUUUCCAGCAUUUUAUUUACACCCGCCAGAGAUAACCCUUCAAUUUGUAGAUCAAUUAUUUUAAUUGUACACAUGUUGUUCUUUUCAAAACAGAGGACAUGUUGUUUCUUCCAUUAUCAUAUAGUCAUAACAUUAUAAAUUGGAUAAAUUGUGAUAUGAUUUAAUGUAUACUCACAGUAGUGGUUACAAAAAAACAGUAAUAGACCGAGAUUGAAAGAUAUUACUUAUAUUCAUAAUCAUGGUGAAUAUUAUAAUUUAAAGACUGAUUGACAUUGACAACAUUUAUGAACCUAGGUAACAUUUCUAUGGUAGUAGUCAAACAUUCAAUUUACAGUGAUAAACAUUUACCUUAAUGUCAAUAUGGCUAUGUACAAUUAAUAAUGGUACAAAUUAUCAUUUGAGUGUCCGAUGCAUUAAAAUGAGAUCCUGAAAUGGAAAGGUUAUAACGAGUCUAAUGAAAUAUACUGGCUCGAUAUAACCCUUCAAUUCUAACAUCUUUCAUUCUAUAAUGUUCAAAUAUCAUAGUCCUAAAUACAACAAAGGGUUCGAUUAUAAAAAUUCCUAACACUAUAUCUAAAUUUAAUUGGAUAUUUAAUUUAUUAAAAUACAAUAAACAGACAUAUUGAUAGCUUAUCAUUAAAUGUAAGUGAACCCUGAUAUUAAAAUGCUAAAACAACACAUAAUUUUCAAUUUGUUCAAUUUCAAAAACAAAAUUAUUAUAAGCCAUUAUUGAUCCAAAACGAUAAAGUCUAUUAUAAAGAAAAAGUAUAAUAUAUACUCACCAGGAUGAAACAGAAUUCAGAAAAUUGAACAUGAUGAAAAUUCCAAAAUGAGAUGAUUCAAAAUGCACUAGGUUGACUUGUUGCGAAGUAGUUUUCAUUGAACUGAUUGUAGAUCACAAUUUGUUUUAGCUCGUACACACUUAAUGAAUUGACAUAUUCAAAAUCUGAAAGAUAAAACAAAAUUAGAAUAAAUCUAAUAUAAGGGGCACAUGUAAAUUAAACAAAUAAUAAUAGUUUGACAAUGUUUAGAAAUUUACAGUAUGAUUUUACACUUUUAGAAAAAAUAUACAGUCAACUUGAUAAAAAACUAUCAAAAAAUAAAUUACUUAGAGAGCUGAAGACGGUCUAUAAUUGCAUAAAGUGC